UACGUAGGGUGCAAGCGUUAAUCGGAAUUACUGGGCGUAAAGCGUGCGCAGGCGGUUUUGUAAGACUGACGUGAAAUCCCCGGGCUCAACCUGGGAAUGGCGUUGGUGACUGCAAGGCUAGAGUUUGGCAGAGGGGGGUAGAAUUCCACGUGUAGCAGUGAAAUGCGUAGAUAUGUGGAGGAACACCGAUGGCGAAGGCAGCCCCCUGGGUCAGAACUGACGCUCAUGCACGAAAGCGUGGGGAGCAAACAGG
rnacentral:rRNA from 1 species